UACGGAGGGUGCAAGCGUUAUCCGGAUUCACUGGGUUUAAAGGGUGCGUAGGAGGGCAGGUAAGUCAGUGGUGAAAUCUCCAAGCUUAACUUGGAAACUGCCGUUGAUACUAAUCUGUCUUGAAUAUUGUGGAGGUGAGCGGAAUAUGUCAUGUAGCGGUGAAAUGCUUAGAUAUGACAUAGAACACCAAUUGCGAAGGCAGCUCGCUACUCAAUUAUUGACUCUGAGGCACGAAAGCGUGGGGAUCAAACAGG
rnacentral:rRNA from 1 species